rnacentral:rRNA from 1 species
UUCUUCAAGAAAAUUUUUUAUGAAAGUUAAUUAAUUAGAAGGAACUCGGCAAAUUUAGUUGCUUCGCCUGUUUAUCAAAAACAUGGCUCUUUGCUUAUAUAAAUAUAAAGAGUCGGCCUGCCCAGUGAAUUUUUUUAACGGCCGCGGUACUCUGACCGUGCAAAGGUAGCAUAAUCAUUUGCCUUAUAAUUGAAGGCUAGUAUGAAUGGUUUAACGAAAGCAAUACUGUCUCCUUUUUAUUUUCAAGAACUUAACUUUUAGGUGAAGAGGCCUAAAUUUUAUUGAAGGACAAGAAGACCCUGUCGAGCUUAAAAGAUGCCAUAGAAGUCUGAUAUAUUUUAAAAUAAAUUUUCUAUUAAGCUUUUUAGUUGGGGCGACUAAGGAACAAAAAAAGCUUCUUCUUAACGAUAAACAAUCAUGUUUAGAUCCGAUAAUAAACGAUUAAAGGAAUUAGUUACCGCAGGGAUAACAGCAUAAUCUCUCUUAAGAGACCUAAUCGAAAGAAGGGGGUGGGACCUCCAUGGUGGACUAAAAUAUCCUGAAGAAGCAG